rnacentral:rRNA from 1 species
UGGGGAAUAUUGGACAAUGGGCGCAAGCCUGAUCCAGCCAUGCCGCGUGAGUGAUGAAGGCCCUAGGGUUGUAAAGCUCUUUCACCGGUGAAGAUAAUGACGGUAACCGGAGAAGAAGCCCCGGCUAACUUCGUGCCAGCAGCCGCGGUAAUACGAAGGGGGCUAGCGUUGUUCGGAGUUACUGGGCGUAAAGCGCACGUAGGCGGCCUAUUAAGUCAGGGGUGAAAUCCCGGGGCUCAACCCCGGAACUGCCUUUGAUACUGGUAGUCUUGAGUUCGAGAGAGGUGAGUGGAAUUCCGAGUGUAGAGGUGAAAUUCGUAGAUAUUCGGAGGAACACCAGUGGCGAAGGCGGCUCACUGGCUCGAUACUGACGCUGAGGUGCGAAAGCGUGGGGAGCAAACAGG